GAUGAACGCUGGCGGCGUGCCUAAUACAUGCAAGUCGAGCGAACAGACGAGGAGCUUGCUCCUCUGACGUUAGCGGCGGACGGGUGAGUAACACGUGGAUAACCUACCUAUAAGACUGGGAUAACUUCGGGAAACCGGAGCUAAUACCGGAUAACAUGUUGAACCGCAUGGUUUAACAGUGAAAGACGGUCUUGCUGUCACUUAUAGAUGGAUCCGCGCCGGAUUAGCUAGUUGGUAAGGUAACGGCUUACCAAGGCAACGAUGCGUAGCCGACCUGAGAGGGUGAUCGGCCACACUGGAACUGAGACACGGUCCAGACUCCUACGGGAGGCAGCAGUAGGGAAUCUUCCGCAAUGGGCGAAAGCCUGACGGAGCAACGCCGCGUGAGUGAAGAAGGUCUUCGGAUCGUAAAGCUCUGUUAUUAGGGAAGAACAAAUGUGUAAGUAACUAUGCACGUCUUGACGGUACCUAAUCAGAAAGCCACGGCUAACUACGUG
rnacentral:rRNA from 1 species